UACGAAGGUCCCAAGCGUUAUCCGGAUUUAUUGGGUUUAAAGGGUGCGUAGGCGGGUUAUUAAGUCAGUGGUGAAAGCCUUCAGCUUAACUGAAGAAUUGCCAUUGAUACUGAUGAUCUUGAGUAUGAUUGAGGUGGGCGGAAUGUGUCAUGUAGCGGUGAAAUGCUUAGAUAUGACACAGAACACCGAUUGCGAAGGCAGCUCACUAGGCUGUAACUGACGCUGAGGCACGAAAGUGUGGGGAUCAAACAGG
rnacentral:rRNA from 1 species